GCCCUUCAGGGGGACCCUGUGUGGGAGGGGCAGCCAUGGCCAGGACUCAGCCAGCUGGGCAGAGAGGCAGAGGUCAGCGGCACCCGAAGUCGUCUUGGUCAGGACGUCCGGCAUGUCCGCGGUUAUUGAUGUCCCUCGGCAAGCCCUGGCCCCGGCCCCAGAGGGCCUGCUCCUCGUGAUGGGACAGCCACCCCGCCUUCUCACCCCUUGCUCCUGACAUCGGCUGCCGGAGGGAGUAGGGCCGGGCUGGGCCUUUCUGGAGACAGAUGGGCACCAUGGCCCAGAAGCAAGGUCCCUCUCAGCUCCGCACCCAGCCAGGCAGUGGCAGGCCCAGGACUCAGACCCACGUCUCUGGACACCCAGUAGGGAAGGGGCCGUGGGCAGAAACAAGUACUGUUCUGAACUGGAAGCCAAAGAGGAGGCUCCCUGGGAGCUGCCACCGCCCUGGCCGGGGCCUUAAAUACCCACCUUUCGGUGCCUUUCCAGGGCCAGGGGUCACGCCCGAUGGCAGUGGGACACCAGAGCCCACCUUGCUGCCUGCUGGCCCACAGAAGGAGCCGGCUGCAAGGGCCCGUGGCCACGUGGCCAGCACCACCCGGGCCAAGAAGAGGAAGCCCAACUUCUGCCCGCAGGAGACGGAGGUGCUGGUAGCCAGGGUCAGCAAGCACCAUCAGCUUCUGUUUGGCACCGGCCUGCCGCGGGCCGAGCCUGCCCGCAGGUACCGCGUGUGGAGCCGCAUCCUGCAGGCAGUGAACGCGCUGGGCUACUGCCGCCGCGACCUUGUGGACCUCAAGCACAAGUGGCGGGACCUGCGGGCCGUAGUGAGGCGCAAGCUGGGCGAGCUGCCGGGGGCGCCUCAGGCCCUGCCCCUCACGCCCCUGGAGCAGGCCGUGGCCAAGACCUUCUCCUUCCAGGCCCCGCCCUCCGAGGGCCUCGGCCCCGAGCCGCGCAGAGCCACCCAGAUGGACCCAAGUGACCUCCAGGAGCUGUUCCAAGAGACGUCAGCCAACAUCUUCCGAAUCAACUCCAAUGUGACCUCCUUGGAGCAGAGCCUCCGGUCCCUGGGGACGCCGGGUGACACGCAGGAGCUGCGGGACAGCCUGCACACAGUGCAGCAGGAGACCAACCGCACGAUCGCGGCCAGCGCCAGCGCCCUGAAGCAGACGGCCGAGCUCCUGCGGGGCUGCCCCCGGCAGGAGCAUCUUCAGCUAGAUCGCCUGAAAACUCAGCUGUCAGACGCCGUCCGACGCUAUGGAGUGGUGCAGAAGAAAAUUGCAGAGAAGUCCAGAGCACUGCUUCCCACGGCACAGAGGGGUGGCAAGCAGCAGAGCCCCCAGGCCACCUUUGCUGAGCUGGCUGAUGAUGAGAAGAUUUUCAACGGGGGUGAUGGUGUGUGGUCGGGUCACGAGCAGGCGCUGCUUCCCGAGAUCACCGAGGAGGACCUGGAGGCCAUCCGGCUGCGAGAGGAGGCCAUCCUGCAGAUUGAGAGUGACCUGUUAGAUGUGAACCAGAUCAUCAAGGACUUGGCCUCCAUGGUUUCAGAGCAAGGAGAGGCCAUCGGGUCCAGCAGCGGCAAGGCCUCGUGCGGGCGCAGCUCCAGCCCUGAGCCGGCUGCGGCAGCCCUGUUGCCUGGGCCAGGCCCGCACUUGCGCACCAAGACGCGGAAGCCCAACUUCAGCCCCCAGGAGACGGAGGUGCUGGUGCAGAGGGUGGCACGCCACUACUCCCUGCUGUUCGGGGCGCUGCGGGGCCCGCCCGCCCGCAAGCACCGGGUGUGGAGCAAGAUCCUGCAGGCGGUGAACGCGCUGGGCUACUGCCGCCGGGACCUGGGCGACGUCAAGCACAAGUGGCGGGACCUGCGCGGGGUGGUGCGCAGGAAGCUGGCCGAGUGCCCCCGCACCCCCGCCGUCCUCACGCCUGUCGAGCGCAUGGUGGCCGAGACCUUCACGGCCCCAGGCACCCCUGGGGAGGGCCGUGCCGUCAAGCCCCUGCCAACUGACAAGGAGGACGAGGUCCCUGGCUGCCUGUGGCUCCCCCUGCGGACACUGGAUGGGCCGAGCCCGCCCGAAGCCGACCCCUUGGACCCUCGAGGAGCCUUCCCCGUGGCCGCCGCCUCACCCUCCCCGCCCGCCUCCCCGGGCUCAGUGCCCCCGGCGGCCGCGCUUCCUGGGCCAACUCGGCCCUCGCCGCCCACCUCGGCAGGAUCCCAGCCCUCCGGGAAGGCUGCGGGGGCUGAGGCCUCGGAGCUGGAGCGGCGGCUGCUGGACGUGCAGCGGCGGCAGGGUGCCUUGCUCAGCGCCUGGUCCCAGCAGCAGAGCACGCUGAUGGCCCAGCAGAACCUGCUGCUGGAGCGGCUGGCUGAGCAGAGCCAGCGGCUGGCCGAUGGCGUCGAAGCGCUCACCCAGACCCUGGGGAGGCUGGUGGAGGCCCUCCCGGCCCGGGGUGCCUCGCCCGCCAGCCCGGGCGGCUCCCCGGGGGGCGGGACCGUUUGCAGGCCGGCCAGAGCCUCCCAGGGCAGCCGCACUGGCCCGGAGGCCUUCUCAGGGAUGAUCCUGAAGGUGGAGGAGGAAACCUAG
rnacentral:lncRNA from 1 species